GAUUAACCGUUAAAUUCAUAGCGGCUUUUCACGGUAACGUGGAUCGAAAACCCCUCUAAUUCAGGGAAACUCUCAAUUGAGACAAUCCUGAGCCAAGUAGAAAAAUUAACUUUCCCCUGUCAUUUGGAUUGAUGCUUGGGAAGUUAUUGAUUCUAAAGGUGCAACGACUAGCAAUAAAAGCGUAGGUUCAAGUGAACCGAAACGGGGGGCUUCCUAUUAGGAAGAUGAUAUAGUCUAUUCUGAAAGGUAACUUUCAG
rnacentral:ncRNA from 1 species